AUUGAACGCUGGCGGCAUGCCUUACACAUGCAAGUCGAACGGUAACAGGUUAAGCUGACGAGUGGCGAACGGGUGAGUAAUGUAUCGGAACGUGCCCAGUCGUGGGGGAUAACUGCUCGAAAGAGCAGCUAAUACCGCAUACGACCUGAGGGUGAAAGAGGGGGAUCGCAAGACCUCGCGCGAUUGGAGCGGCCGAUAUCAGAUUAGGUAGUUGGUGAGGUAAAGGCUCACCAAGCCGACGAUCUGUAGCUGGACUGAGAGGACGACCAGCCACACUGGGACUGAGACACGGCCCAGACUCCUACGGGAGGCAGCAGUGGGGAAUUUUGGACAAUGGGCGCAAGCCUGAUCCAGCCAUGCCGCGUGCGGGAAGAAGGCCUUCGGGUUGUAAACCGCUUUUGUCAGGGAAGAAAAGGUUCUGGCUAAUACCUGGGACUCAUGACGGUACCUGAAGAAUAAGCACCGGCUAACUACGUG
rnacentral:rRNA from 1 species